GGAAAAGGAAGGUCUUGAUUUAUUUUCAAUUAUGUUUAUCCCUAUCAGGAAAAGCCUCAGAUACCCUUUUGCUUCUUUGGAGAAGCCCACAAUUAUGAGCCAUAAAAGGCAAGUUAUUUGUAAUAAAACAAGACAGCACCACAUAUACCAGGGUUAUUUGCCAUUGCUGGAUGUGGUUCAGAUAAGGUCUAGCCAAAUGUCCGGCUUAGUCUAGAUACAGCCUGAAAGAAAACAUUAUUUUAUUUGAACUUGACUAUCAUUUUGCCCUUGAAAUUAAAGAAACUCAAAUUCUAUGGUCAGGAAAUUGAUUUUAACAAGACAAAAUCUGUGUCCUUUAAAAAAAAUGGAAAAGAACUCACAAAAGCCUAUUCAUGAUUACUUGCACUAGCAUCCUUUUUUUUUCUUAAUGAAAUUGAUGCCUCUUCUAGUAAGCCUUGGUUCCAAGGAUGUUCUUCAACUUUCCUUUUCUUCUCAGAGCUCUUUGUUCUUACAGCAUGCCCAUUGCCAUUACUUCUCCCCAUUCUAUAGCGAUUCAUGCUGAUUAACAGCAAAUAUAUCAACAGAUUCAGACUUGAACAUCUUGUAUCCACUCCUUAAGAAAUUCAUUUGUUCUCUUAGUUUUUUGGUAUUAUACCAGAUCUAUAUUUCCAGAACCAUGAUUAUUUUAUCUCCAGUUUUAUGGUUAUCACUGAUCCUUGUCAGUUAUCACUGACAUCACAUUCUCAUGCAUACCUAAAAAUUCAGUUAAAUGGGCUGAACUCAAUGGGGUGCAGUCAGAAAACAGUUUUAUUUUUCUGCACUACCAUUUUUGAUUGCUCUCUGUAGAGGCACUUCAGACAAAGGAAGCAAUACAGAGCAGUGGUGAAAAGUCCAGAUUCAGGAGAAGUAAAUCAGUCUCAAUCUCAGCUCUGACAACACACACACACACACACACAUACACAUACACACACACAGGGAUAGUUUACUCUUAAAUAACAUGAAGGUUAACAGUGCUGACCCCUCACACAAAUAAAAUUCCACAUAGAAGUUUGACUCCUCGGAAAUUUAACUACUAAUAGCCUACAGUUGACGGGAAGUCUUAUCAAUAACAUUAACAGUCAAUUGACACAUAUUUUGUAUAUGUAUUAAAUACUAUAUUCUUAACAAUAGAGAACAUAUUUUUAAGAAAAGCAUAAGAAAGAGAAAAUAGAUUUACUAUCCAUUAAAUGCAAGUGGAUCAUCAUAAAGGCCUUCAUCCUUGUCAUCUUCACAUUGAGUAGGCUGAGGAGGAGGAAGAGGAGGGGUUGGUCUUGCUGUUUUAGGGGUAGCAGAGGUGGAGGAAAAUCUGCAUAUAAGUGAAUCUGUGUAGUUCAAAUCCAUGUUGUUCAAGGGUCAACUAUAUACAUAUAUAAUUG
rnacentral:lncRNA from 1 species